AGUUCAGAAGUGGGCUCUUCCCAUCUACAGGCUCUGCGAAGCUCUGGGGAGAAGGGAGGCCAGCACUGACAUACACAGACACAGCCCAGACAUAGUCCAGCCCGGAUCGGGUACAGGCACAGGGAUUACUGCUGAUAACCCGGACCAGGAAGCCAUGCAUGGACCGAGGUAAGGGAAACUUUACCGUAUCUUGCCUCGGGUUGGGUUCAGGGAGACUCUUGUGUGGAGUGUGAACGAGACGCACUUCUAGUGCGA